rnacentral:sRNA from 1 species
UGUCCAUGCCCUUCUUGGGCGUUUCCUCCCUAGACUAGGCCGCGUCGUGCCAACGAUGCGGUCCUUUUUUAUACGGG